GGGGCAGGUCGGGCAAUCGCGUUAAAGCAUUUUAACGAGGAAGGUCCGGACUCCACAGAGCAAGAUAGCGGCUAACAGCCGUCUGGCGACUCGCAAGACAAGCCAAGGACUAGGGCCACAGAGACGAGACUGCGUUGGGGCAUACUCAUUAUAUAUGCACUGGUACGGCUAUCUCCGUACUGCUUAGUUGAUUUUUUCAACUAUAACAAUGCAGGGUGAAACGCGGUAACCUCUAUCUGGAGCAACAUCAAAUAGGCAUGCGCGGGGUUAUCCCCACAGGGCGGCUCGUCCCAGCAUGCGGGUAGAUGGCUCGAGCCCAUAAGCAAUUAUGGGCCUAGACGAAUGAUUGCCAGCCUUCGGGCUUACAAAAUCCGGCCUAUAGACCUGUUCCACUU
rnacentral:RNase_P_RNA from 1 species